CGAGACUGAUUACCAGGUAAACAGACUCGGCACAAUGCAGCAAAAUCAAAGCACACAAGACAAAGAUUACAAAAAAGGAUGGAAAUUUAAUCACCAGCUCCCUCUGGGAGGAAAAACUGGUGAUAAGAGGCACAGAGACCAUCAACAUCAGCGCGGUAAUUACAAAGUUUGUUCCUGCGCUUCAAGAUAUUUAUCAUUUCGAGGAGAAGACGCGGAAAAUAACGCUUUUCGGAGGCUAAAAUUUUAGCCCCCCCGAAGUCAAAGCGAUGCACCUCUGCAUCUUGGUGGUGCUGCAAGGCAGUCUUCUCCCCUUUCCCAUAUCGAUGUUGAGAAAGCCUCUUUUUUUCAUGAUGAUGUUGAACUAAAAAGGUAUUAUUCUAUUUCAGCUGUGGAUAUAGAGAUCGCAAAAUCGAGUGCGCAGUGUAGGAGUAUUGUGAAAAGGUUCAUCUGCGGCAUUUGCGGCAACGGCUACACCAACUCGCAGAAUCUUGUGCGCCACAAGCAAGUCCACACGGGAGAGUCCUACUGUUCCUUGUGCGAUAAAGUCGUUUCCAGUAAACACUACCUCAAGCAACAUAUGCUCCUAGUCCACGGGAUUCAUGAAUAAAUCCCUCAAAAUUCUCCCGCUUUCUUAUUCCUCCUCUGUUUGUGUGACUUUCUGUAAUCCCAGGCUUCGCAGUCGCGAGCAUGGAUGGAUCGUGCGGACACAUCUGCGACAUCUGCGGGGCUGUGUACAAACACUCUCAAAGUCUUAGCAAGCACAAGAAGGUGCACCUAGGCAAAACUACCUGUGCCCUUUGCAAUAAAUCUACGUCCUCAACUUCCGCCUUAAUGCGCCAUAUGAUCCUCGUGCACAAUAAAUCUGUAGAAAUUGCCGACUGAUCCCUUGUUUUAAGUAUUCAAUGAAAUGUUUUGAGUGCAGCAGAAAGAGACAUUAUGAAUGGAGACCAACACUCUGAAAUACCGUGUGAAGGUCGACAAUAUUAUUUGAGCUUCUAUAUAAUUUUCCAUAGUUUCUUCGUUUGAGAUCGUAUUCUCGUCCUGAAAUUUAGGGUUUUUUAAUUUUUUACUAGAUAGUAAGCCUUUCCCGAAGGAUCUUUGUCUAAGUCGUUAAUCAUAGCGUUCCAUUUCUUCUUUUUCGAUUCCCAUAAAGCCGAUUCCAAUUUCUUUUUGUUUUCUGGAAGUUUCUGUUUUAGGAUCGACGUAGGUCUCCUUUCACUAACGAAUAAUUUAAAUUAUUUGAACACCCGUAUGACUGUAGCUUUUGAUAUAACUGCAAUCUUCAUGAGCACGUCUUACGCUUUAAAAUUGAUAGUGAGUAUCCCUUUUGUCCCUUUAUUGUGUCAUUUUUUUAACUUUUUUUUUUUAACUUGAGCCAUGAAUUCAAACCAAUUUCAAUCUAGGUUAAAAGCCAUGUGUCUGUAUUUUGCACUAACUUGUGCCAGAUUUUUUUCAUGAUUUUGAAUGUACUUACAAUUUUCUUUUUUUGUCUUUUUUUAUCGUUAUUGUAAUGUGAUUGUUGAUCGUAGUAGGGCAAUCUGUAUAAGUGUGUAACCUCUGCGAAAGCGUGAUCUUAUUUGUUUGGUUUUUUCCAUUUGUUGAGGCAUCGAAUAAAUCAUUAAUUAAAUAGUCGUUA